UGGGGGGGGGGCACUGUAGCGCAAGACACAUCAUUACAAAAGGCGCUUGCACAAGAAACAGACCCGUUGCAUUUGUACACCUGUAUUACUGUCUCGAUUUAUAAUAACCCGCGCGAGGGAAAAUAUCUUAGGAUCUCCGUGCAGCUUAAACAGAAGCUUGACCGUUCAAUCGUGAUACCCUCUUCUUCCUCGGGAGGCAUAUGUAUUUGGUAUCGCCGUUUCUUCCAGUAAGCACCAAUGCAUGCAUGCACCCGCCUCCCUGCGCUCUCAAAUAGAUGGUGCAAGUAAAGAUGUCCAAAUCUUCCGCAGACCCUCUGUCUGGUGUAGAAAGCGCUUCUCAGUCGCACUAUUUUCAGCUACCACGAAAGUUGCCGAAGCGCAAGGGACGCUUUAAACGCUCAGAUGGCAGCACCUCGUCUGACACCACCUCCAGCUUCAUCAAGCGACAGGGUUCAGCCGAUUCGUACACGAGCAGACCUUCGGAUUCCGACCUGUCAGCGGAGGAGGACCGCGAGGCGUAUCGGCGUGAAGCCGAACGCCAGGCCCAGCUGCAGCUCGAGAGAGCCAAGUCCAAACCUGUAGCAUUCGCAGUGAAGACGAAUGUGAAUUAUUGUGGGGCUCUAGAUGAGGACUGUCCUGUUCAGGGUGCUGCCAUAAACUUUGAAGCCAAAGACUUUCUGCACAUUAAAGAGAAGUACAAUAAUGACUGGUGGAUUGGAAGGCUGGUGAAAGAGGGGGCAGACAUCAGCUUCAUUCCCAGCCCCCUCCGACUGGAGGCCAUGAGACUCAAACAGGAGCAGAAACAACAGAGGAAAAGUGGCAACUCCUCCUCAAGCCUGGGUGACAUGGUCUCAGGAGGUUGGAGAUCCACGCCGCCAUCUGCAGGUGAGACCAAACAGAAGCUAAAGCAGACUGAACACAUUCCUCCAUAUGAUGUGGUGCCGUCCAUGAGGCCUGUGGUUCUGGUUGGACCUUCACUGAAGGGCUAUGAGGUGACAGAUAUGAUGCAGAAAGCCCUGUUUGACUUUCUCAAACAUCGCUUUGAUGGACGGAUUUCUAUAACCCGGGUGACCGCUGACCUUUCUUUGGCCAAGAGAUCGGUUCUCAACAAGAGACCCAUCAUGGAGAGGUCUAACACACGAACCAGUUUGGCGGAAGUACAAAGUGAGAUCGAGAGAAUAUUUGAGCUGGCCAAAACUCUUCAGUUGGUGGUUCUAGAUGCAGACACCAUUAACCAUCCAGCGCAGCUAGCUAAAACCUCGUUAGCUCCUAUUAUUGUGUACGUCAAGGUCACCUCUCCAAAGGUCCUACAGCGAUUGAUAAAGUCGAGGGGUAAAUCACAGAGCAAACACCUCAAUGUUCAGAUGAUGGCAGCAGAUAAACUGACUCAAUGUCCUCCUAGCCAUCUCCCAUCACCUGACCACCAUCACAAGAUAUUUUAUAUAAUAUCUUCUAAUUCCAUCCCCCACAUGUCAUCUUCUCCUCCACCCUGUCUCCCCAUCAGGAGAUGUUUGAUGUCAUUUUGGAUGAGAACCAGUUGGAGGACGCCUGUGAGCACCUCUCUGAAUAUCUGGAGGUCUACUGGCGUGCCACUCAUCUGCCCGGCACCACCCCUCUCAACCCUCUAAUGGAGCAAAAUCUGAUGACCCCACCCUCAGUAAUCUCCAGUCUACAGUUCUCUGAAACACAGGAAUUAAUUGAAUGAACGCUUACAAACCUGCGAACCAGCAGCUGUCGCCUGCCGGGGGUGGAGGGGGAGUGGAGGAGGAGGAGCAGGGGGAGCAGGACAGCCUCAUGCCCUCCGACGAGGCCAGUGACUCUCGCUCCCUCCGUCGAGGCGUCUCUAGCUCCCUGCACCCCCCGGAGGAUGAGGAAGAAGAGGAGGAGGAGGAGGAAGAGGAGGAAGAUGAUUUCGAACCCCACCACCCUCACCCGUACCGGGAUGUGUAUCCGCCCAACCGUAACCACCCUGGUGGCAACCACAGCGCUAACGGACACGAGGCACAGGACCGGCUCCUGCAGGAGCGAGACUCGCAGGACGGACACAACCAACGAAACAACCGCCAGCGCACAAGAGCCUGGCCAAGAGACAACUACUGACCACCUGUCUGCAGGAGUCUUGAGGAGAGGGUUGGGUUGUGAAUUGGGGUGAGGGGUGAUGGGAAUUAAUGAGGAAC